GGUCCCGUAGCUCAGCAGGAUAGAGCAUCAGAUUCCUAAUCUGAGGGUCGCAGGUUCGAAUCCUGCCGGGAUCGCCA
rnacentral:tRNA from 1 species